AGCGAACGCUGGCGGCAGGCCUAACACAUGCAAGUCGAACGAACCCUUCGGGGUUAGUGGCGGACGGGUGAGUAACACGUGGGAACGUGCCUUUAGGUUCGGAAUAACUCAGGGAAACUUGUGCUAAUACCGAAUGUGCCCUUCGGGGAAAGAUUUAUCGCCUUUAGAGCGGCCCGCGUCUGAUUAGCUAGUUGGUGAGGUAAUGGCUCACCAAGGCUACGAUCAGUAGCUGGUCUGAGAGGAUGACCAGCCACAUUGGGACUGAGACACGGCCCAAACUCCUACGGGAGGCAGCAGUGGGGAAUUUUGCGCAAUGGGCGAAAGCCUGACGCAGCCAUGCCGCGUGGAUGAUGAAGGUCUUAGGAUUGUAAAAUCCUUUCACCGGUGAAGAUAAUGACUGUAGCCGGAGAAGAAGCCCCGGCUAACUUCGUGCCAGCAGCCGCCGUAAUAC
rnacentral:rRNA from 1 species